rnacentral:rRNA from 1 species
GGUUUGAUCAUGGCUCAGAUUGAACGCUGGCGGGAUGCUUUACAUGCAAGUCGAACGGCAGCACGGACUUCGGUCUGGUGGCGAGUGGCGAACGGGUGAGUAAUGUAUGGAACGUGCCUAGUAGCGGGGGAUAACUACGCGAAAGCGUAGCUAAUACCGCAUACGCCCUUCGAGGAAAGCGGGGGACCUUCGGGCCUCGCACUAUUAGAGCAGCCCGAUAUCAGUUAGCUAGUUGGUGGGAGUAACGGCUCACCAAGGCGACGAUCCGUAGCUGGUUUGAGAGGACGACCAGCCACACUGGGACUGAGACACGGCCCAGACUCCUACGGGAGGCAGCAGUGGGAAUUUUGGACAAUGAGGGAAACCCUGAUCCAGCCAUCCCGCGUGUGCGAUAUGAAGGCCUUCGGGUUGUAAAAGCACUUUGGCAGGGAAAGAAACGGCACGGGAUAGCCACCCGUCACAACUGACGGUACCUGCAGAAUAAAGCUGGCUAACUACGUACCCAGCAGCCGCGGUAUUACGUAGGGUGCAAGCGUUAAUCGGAAUUACUGGGCAUGCAAAGCGUGCUGAGCGGUUCGGAAAGAAAGAUGUGAAAUCCCAGAGCUUAACUUUGGAACUGCAUUUUUAACUACCGAGCUAGAGUGUGUCAGAGGGAGGUGGAAUUCCAUGAUGUAGCAGUGAAAUGCGUAGAUAUGCGGAGGAACACCGAUAGCGAAGGCAGCCUCUGGGAUAACACUGACGCUCAUGCGAAAAGCGUGGGGGCAAACAGGAUUAGAUACCUGGUAGUCCACGCCUAAACGAUGUCAACUAGCUGUUGGGGCCUUCGGGCCUUGGUAUUGGCACAGCUAACAACAUGAAGUUGACCGCCUGGGAAGCCUACGGUCGCAAGAUUAAACUCAAAGGAAUUGACGGGGACCCGCUGGCAGUGGAUGAUGUGGUUAAUUGAUGCAGCAUGAAAACCUUACCUACCUUGACAUGUAUCUGGAAUCCCGAAGAGAUUUGGGAGUGCUCGCGAAACCGGAACACAGGUGCUGCAUGGCUGUCGUCAGCUCGUGUCGUGAGAUGUUGGGUUAAGUCCCGCAACGAAGGCACAAACCCUUGUCAUUAGUUGCUACGAGGGCACUCUAUUAGGGCUGCCGAUGGCCGUGUCGGAGGAAGGUGGGGAUGACGUCAAGUCCUCAUGGCCCAUAUGGGUAGGGCUUCACGUCAUACAAUGGUCGGGACAGAGGGUCGCCAACCCGCGAGGGCCAAUCGAAGCGAUCGUAGUCCGGAUCGCAGUGCAACUCGACUGCGUGAAGUCCGGAAUCGCUAGUAAUCGCGGAUCAGCAUGUCGCGGUGAAUACGUUCCCGGUCUUGUACACACCGCCCCGUCACACCAUGGGGUGGUUUUACCAGAAGUAUUAGCCUAACCGUAAGAGGCGAUUACCACAGUAGGAUUCUUGACUGGGGUGAAGUCGUAACAAGGUAA